UUCGUUGCAAAAUGUUGUAAAAUGCGGAUAAUAUAGCCUUGAGAAGUUUGCCAUUUUUCAGUCAUUUUGAUUACAAAUGGGAAAUUGAUAAUCAGAUGAUCAAACUGAUUAUCAAUUUCCCGUUUGUAAUGCAAAAUGACUCAGCUCAGUGAAAAACGGCAAAUUUCGCAAGGCUAUAUUGGCCGCAUUUUACAACAUUUCGCAACGAAACUUCGGAAUAUUACUAAUUUUGUUGAUACUCUUUCAAGCUGUAAUGAAAUUUUUGUCCAGGCUAGUCUAGAUCAAAAUUUCACUUAAAAGGGGAAAGGUCUAUUACGGCCGGGUCCUUGUGCCUUGUGGGAUGGUCACAACUUCUAAAGAGCCUGCAGAGUUUACCCUGCAGGUUUAAAGAGCUCUAAUUAAUUAAAAGUCGUAAAAUACAGUUAAUUAUUAAAAUUUCUUAUUGCACAUUUUCUAUGUUAUUCUACCUUAUGCAUAAUGACGUCACAUGGCUUGAUGCCCGCGAGGAAUGCUGGUCUUAGCAGUCAUCACCCGGGAAAAUUAAACAAUUCAAAAUGGCUAUUAUCGAAAUUUUCCCGGGCAAUGACUACUAAGACCAGGGUUGGUAAGUUAGAUGAAGAAUUAGGCCAAAUCGUCAUUAGUGCCGUUUAGAAAACAGAGAAAACAAAAGGCCAAGACAAAGAAAACAAAGGCCUAGUGUGACGGUGUUUGGCCUAAUUAUUCAGCAAACCUACCAAUCAUAGAUAUAGGAGAUCUAGAUUACUAACGCAUACCUAACGCAGGCGGGGCCUACAUGAUAAAUCCAAGAUGGCGGUACAACAGGGCAAAAAGACUAUAAAUUGUAUUACGAAAAUCAGGAUAUUUGCAUUUUUUUCCGUCGCAUUGUUUUGAAACUUAUUCGGUCAAAUUUUAUGGUAAAGAGAAACUUACCGCGAAGAUUUUGAGUAUAUAUAUGAUUGAAUUGGAUGAAAAAUCGCAAAAUUAUCCAGCGAUAAAAGUUCGUGUGAACUGGUCAGUUGGAGCGUUUUAUUGCCAGAAAUACUGUGCUAUGUUAACAUCUAG